rnacentral:rRNA from 1 species
UACGGAGGGUGCAAGCGUUAUCCGGAUUCACUGGGUUUAAAGGGUGCGUAGGUGGGCAGGUAAGUCAGUGGUGAAAUCUUUGGGCUUAACCCGAAAACUGCCAUUGAUACUAUUUGUCUUGAAUACUGUGGAGGUCAGCGGAAUAUGUCAUGUAGCGGUGAAAUGCUUAGAUAUGACAUAGAACACCAAUUGCGAAGGCAGCUGGCUACACAAAUAUUGACACUGAGGCACGAAAGCGUGGGGAUCAAACAGG